AUUGAACGCUGGCGGCAGGCCUAACACAUGCAAGUCGAACGGUAACAGGAAGCAGCUUGCUGCUUCGCUGACGAGUGGCGGACGGGUGAGUAAUGUCUGGGAAACUGCCUGAUGGAGGGGGAUAACUACUGGAAACGGUAGCUAAUACCGCAUAACGUCGCAAGACCAAAGAGGGGGACCUUAGGUGCUCUUGCCAUCGGAUGUGCCUCUAUGGGAUUAGCUAUUAGGUGGGGUAACGGCACACCUAGUCGACGAUCCCUAGCUGGUCUGAGAGGAUGACCAGCCACACUGGAACUGAGACACGGUCCAGACUCCUACGGGAGGCAGCAGUGUGGAAUAUUGCACAAUGGGCGCAAGCCUGAUGCAGCCAUGCCGCGUGUAUGAAGAAGGCCUUCGGGUUGUAAAGUUCUUUCAGCGGGGAGGAAGGGAGUAAAGUUAAUACCUUUGCUCAUUGACGUUACCCGCAGAAGAAGCACCGGCUAACUCCGUG
rnacentral:rRNA from 1 species